CCAGCCUGGGCAACAAGAGCAAAACUCCGUCUCAAAAAACAAAAAACAAAAAGAAUCACGUAAGUCGAAGUCACACUGAUGACAGCCAAUUUUUGUGAACCAAGGAAGUGUCAAUUCAAUAAUUCACAUAGAUGUUUACUUUUGCUGUCUCCUAUGUGCCAAGCAAGAUGUAGGCUCUGGGGAGUCAGAAACAAAAGAGACUCACUUGUUCCUCUCACAAUACUCAGUACUUACUGAGAUAAGGACAAAAUAAAAUGUCCUGUCUGGAAUGCAGGGAAACCAGAACUUCAGGUCAGGGGAUAUUUCCAUUGAAUUGUAUGGAGUUUAAGCUUAAAAUAUUAACAAAUGUAUCUAAAAUUCACUUUACCUUUACUUUAUGCAUCCAUCAUAGAGAUCAUGCAGCGGGAGCCCACGAUCGGUUUAAUCAUCACUCACUUCCAUUGGAUCAACUACAAAUCAACUCAGAUGAGAGUGCUGAGUCUCAGAGGAUGGACAUCUCACCCCUUGCCAUACAGAUAAGUAGAAAGGAUGGUAUUCAAAAUUAAUGGCCAGACUCUAAGUCCCAGAUACUAUACUUCAUGGUCUUCCAACUCUCAAAAAGUUGUGGGAGUUUUUUUUUGUUUUUGUUUUUGUUUUUUUGAGACGGAGUCUCAUUCUGUUGCCCAGGCUGGAAGUGCAGUGGAGUGAUCUCAGCUCAUUGCAACCUCCGCAUCCCAGGUUCAAGCUAUUCUCCUGCCUCAGCCUGCUGAGCAGCUGAGAUUACAGGCGCCCGCCACUAUGCCCGACUAAUUUUUUUCUAUUUUUAGUAGAGACGGGGUUUCACCAUGUUGGCCAGGCUGGUCUCGAACACCUGAACUUGUGAUUCGCCUGCCUCAGCCUCCCAAAGUGCUGGGAUUACAGGCGUGAGCCACCGCGCCCAGCUUCAAAAAGUUUAAAGCAGAGCUCAGAGGUCUUAACCACAGGUACAUCUGAGGAGCAUUUUUGAAACAGUUUCCAGCUUCCUCAACAGGAAGAGAAGCCAAAUUCCGAAUUUAUGACUCCUUUGAGGAAGUCGAGAGCUGUAAGGAAAGCCAGGAACAGGGGCAAGGGAGAGAUGCAUCCCGAAUGAUCCUGUGCCAAUUCUUUCUGGAAUCUUUGAUGUGAUCUCAGCUGCCCUUUCUAUACUUGACACAGUGAUUGUGGCACCCACUGGUCUAGCUGUGGUCUACAAGGAACCCCCAAAAGGAAGGGCACAGUGAGCAGGGGCAUCGGCCUGAGUGACAAGGAUUUGAGAGGGCAGGUUGGAUGCAGGGAGAGGACUGGCCAAAUGCCAUGUGUCUGGACUUAGGCUGCCUGGUUCAAACUGGACUUCACCCUUUUUGACUUCAUGAUCUGGUACAAGUUAUAUGAAAAUGCAUUGCUCCUUUUCUAGUCUGUAAAAUAAUAAUGAAAUGUGCACUAAUAACUGGGAGACUACGCAGAGGAAAUGAAACAAGCUGCAUAGACCACAGAGCUCAGAGCCUGGCCUUUAGGAAGCCCUCAGUAAGGGUUCAUGAUGCCAUGGUGUCUGUCAUCAUCCUCUUUAUCCUCAUCAUCACCUUCAUAAUCUUUUUAUUGUUCUUAGAGAAUAGUUUAGAGGGACUCAUUCCCUGCUAUCAUGGGUGAGAUGUCUAUGAAAAGGACAACCAGUGGGGGAGGAAAGCAAAAUUUUGAAUAAGAUUUCUGAGACCGCCCCCCCCCGACCAUAACCAAGAACAGAAACUCCACAGUCUGCUGAGCCGACAGUUUGCACGUUGGUCUCCUCCCAUCUGCCCACCGCACUCUCCUGUUUUUUUCCUGAGGAUGAGGAUACAAAACAAGGCUCCCAACCGUCCCUCAGCACUCACUGAACUGCCCUUCCCCUCUGCUGGGCCAUGACCACGGAGAACAAGUCCACUGUCCUCCCUGCGUGGUGCACGAUGGAGGCUCAGACUCCAUCCUCAAGGCUGGCAAGAAGACAGGGUGAGACAUGAGCCUCCUGAUACAGGUGAUGGGUGUGGAGCCCACAGGACUGGAACCUCACACUGCAGGGCUGGAGGCACAGACUAUUUACUAUUCUAUGGCCUGGGGGGCUCAAGGCACAGAGCUCCUCAUUAGCCAAAGUCGCCCAAGUUCCCCAACCUUUAAGGAUUUCCUCAUAAUAAUGCAAGAAGAAGAAGAGAAAAGUGAGUGUCCAUAGAAGCUUUGGGGCUCUUCCUCUAAUCAGGAGAAAGCUGCAGAAGUUCAUCAGCUAACUUCUUGGGACCUAGCACCAUGUGAAGACGCUCAAGCUAGACUUUAAAAUGAGAGACCCAGAGGAGAGACAGAAGCUCCACUAAAUCCAAAGAACACCUAGACUGAUCAACAACAGAGGAAGCAAGGACAGCAAAGGGCGCUGCAGAGGCCAAGAGUUCAUUUUAGACAACAGGGUUGCCGGGCUGCCACAGAGAUCAGCAAACAAAAUAGUCCACCUGCAAGGAACAGGCCUUCCUUGUGACAACCGUGCUACAGGAAAACCAGCCAAGUUGCCGGAACCACAGAGUACAACAAAGUUUGGGUAAAAUAGUUGUGGCAAAAAUGAAAUUCUGGGGCUACAUUUCCAUCCUGUAUGAAACUAUUGAACAUCCUUGGUCAACACUCUCUGUAGAGAUUUGUUUUAUGUAAGUUGUAGUUCCAAAAUGUGUGGGGUUUUUUGUUUGUUGUUGUUGUUGUUGAGACAGGGUCUCGCUCUGUCGCUAGGCUGGAGUGCAGUGGUGAGAUCUCAGCUCACUACACCCACUGCCUCCCGGGUUCAAGCGAUUCUCCUGCCUCAACCUCUCGAGUAGCUGGGACUACAGCUGUGCACCACCGCACCACACCAAUCUAAUUUUUUCUUUAUUUUUUUUGUAUUGUAGUAGAGACGGGGUUUCACCGUGUUAGCCAGGAUGGUCUCGAUAUCCUGACCUCGUGAUCUGCCCGCCUCGACCUACCAAAGUGCUGGGAUUACAGGCAUGAGCCGCCAUGCCCAGCCCAAAAUGUGUUUUUUCUAAAUCACUCUUUAAAAGAGUUUUUUAAAAAACUACUUUACUAAAAAAAAGUAAAUUUAAAUUUAGUAACAUGGCAUUACAAUCCUUGGGAAUAAAAUUAAUUUUAUGCUGUUGUCCUGACAAAGCAAAGGAAAUGCAUCUGAAGUGGCAUGGUUUGGUUUGGUUUUGUUUUUUUCUAAAAUUGUUCUACUCUUCCAAAGGGAAGGUUUUAGAAUGUUUCCCAAAGCAUGAAUGUUGGAAUGGUGGUCCCAUGAGAUGCUCCUCUAAAAAAAGAAGGAGGUGAAAGAAUUAUUUGGCCAAAUCUGCUUUGAAAUCCUCUCCCUUUUAGAUUCAUCCUAAUAUUGGCAUAGGAAUGCCUCUUUAAAGAACUACAAUAAAGAAGCCUGUUUAUCUUUGCUUAACACAGAAUCCUCAAGUUAUUAACCACCCUUUUUUCAAGUAACACCCAUAAAAGUCCCUUGGCGCUAGAGGACCUUGGAACCCACUGAAAGAAACACCGCCUUGGUCUCUGGGGGAGGAGAAGUGGGACAUAACUCCCUGCUUUCUGACAAAUGGUUUUGAAAUAUUCAUCAUUUCUCUCAAAUGACAAAGGAUGAAAUAUUGUUUCUACUUUUAAUUCAUUUCCCCUACAAUUCUUGUAACGUUUGGUUUGUAACAAAGACAUUUUAAACAAAAAGAUACAUUCAAAAUUGGGAACCAGCAGGCAGCAAAGGGUUCCAUUCACCAGCCACCUGUGCCUUUGAAGUGGUUGAGUCUGUUCCCAAUGUUUUCAUAGCCUUUGGAACGCCCUCCCAGGUACAAGAGCAUGCCGUUCAAAUUUUCAACCAAUUACGUGGCCGUGUCACUCUCCACUCCGCCUGCACGCUGGGAGAAAACGCAAAUCCAUGAAGGUGGUAUUUAAAGAAUUGACAGCCUUGAAAACAUUUUGGAAUUAUUUGAUUUCCUCACAAAACUUCAUUAUUGCUAAAUCCAAAAGAUGAGCCUGACAAUAUCUGUAAGUCUACCAACUGCCCUCCUUAAACUUUGUUGUUAACACUUCCCUAAAUCUUCUGUUCACGCCAGCAGCAUAUCAUAUGACCAACUCCAAUGUGCCUCCGUUAGAUUCUGGGACAUUUCUGGGAGUUCAUACAUUUUUGUUUGAGAAAGUUAAGGAGCUAUCAUACAUCUACAGUUCCGCCCUCCUCCCCACUCUAUGAUCAAAGGAAAAAUUUAAGGGGCAGUUCCACUUGUUCAAUAACGUUCAAUAACAUAUUUCUCCAUGGUCCUCCAUGUGCAGUGCAAAACAGCAGAAAUCCCCAUCCUAACAGAGCUGGCAUUUGAGCAGAUGGCUCGGGCAGGGAAGUUCCCAGCGAAUAUAGUGGCUCUUAUCAUGCAAACCGGUCCAAGAAGCAGACACAUCCACCUUGAGCCAGAUUUAUUUGCAAGGAAUGGGUUCAAAGUCAUGAAAAGAGGAGAGUUCACAUAGACUCAAUUUCAACAAAAAGUAGCUCUCAUAGGGGUGAAUGGGUUUAGGUUGCUCAAGAAGAGAGAGAUUCCAAAGAUGGAGCUUGAGUUGAAGCCCCCAGGAGCUCCCCCUGCAGAAAGAGCAGAGGCUCAGGCUGAGGACAGCUCCCUGAAUGGCCACCUGAAACCUGAAACCCGUGAUGGGAACGCAGAGGGGACCAUGGAGCAAAAACGCCAGGGAACUCUAUAUGGUGGAAAGGAGAUAGCCAGAUGUGGUGGCACACCCCUGUAGUCCCAGCUACUGGGGAGGCUGAGAUAGGAGGAUCACUUGAGCCCAGGAGUUUGAGACUAGAAUGAGCCAUGAUUGUGCCACUGCACUCCAGCCUGGUGAAAGAGUGAUACCCUGUUUUCAUAAGAAAAAAAUAACAAAAACAAAAACAAGAAAGGAGAGAGUUGGCUAAGCUUUAUCACCUUUGUGGGUUUGGAACCCUUACUUGAUCCUUCACUAAAGUACUUCUUGGGCAUCCAGUGAGGUUCAGUGUGUAUUGAGAGGAUGGUGAGGAUGGCAGCCAGGCGUGGGAUCUGUAUUCAAGAAGAAGCUGCCCCACUCGCUGGCCAUCUAUGGAUUUCCAGCCAACAAGCAUUUCCAACCACCUAUGGAUUUCCAACAACUGAGAACUCAUGAGACUGGCUGCCCAGUCUUUCCUCUCUGCCAGAGCAUGAAGAGGCCUCCAUCAUUUCAGGUUGAUGCUCUGGUUCGAGCAGAGCACACUCUUCAGUGGCUUCCUGAGAAAAUGUGCAAGACAAGUCCAUUUUCUGGCUCUCCAUAGAAGACCCACUUCACCUGCAGCCUCUCUGUGUUCUCAUCGGUACUCCCUGCUCACUCACCGCAGCCGCAGCUCCCUGGGCCUCCCCAUGGUUCCCCGACCACAGCAGGUGCGCUCCUUCCUCUGGGUCUCAGCACUUGUUCCGUGGCCUGGAGUGCUUCCCCCCCGCCCCCUCCCCACUCUCUCUAUUGCCCAUUCUCAUUCAGGUCUUUGCUCUAAUAACACUUUCUUGGCCGGGCACAGUGGCUCACACCUGUAAUCCCAACACUUUGGGAGGCUGAGGCAGAUGGGUCACUUGAGUUCAGGAGUUCGAGACCAGCCUGACUCAGCCUGCCCAACAUGGUGAAACUCCGUCUCUACCAAAAAUAUAAAAAAUUAGCCAGGUGUGGUGGUUGCGUGCCUGUAAUCCCAGCUACUCAGGAGGCUGAGGCAGGAGAAUCGCUUGAACCCGGGAGGUGGAGGUUGUAGUGAGCCAAGAUCACACCAUCACACUUCAGCCUUGGCAACAGAGCAAUUCUCUGUCUCAAAAAUAAACAAACAAACAAACAAACAAACAACACCUUCUUGGCAACACUUCCUGAUGAUUCCAUUUAAAAUUCCAGCCUUUCCCCUGCUCUCUCCAUGCACCCUCCCUGCUUUGCUUUGCUCCAUAGGUUGAACUGUGUCCCCCCCAAAAAAGACGUGCUAAAGUUCUAACCCUGAGUACUUCAGGAUGUGACCUUAUUUGGAAGUAGGAUCAUUGCAGAUGUAAUUAGUUAAAUUAAGACGAGGUCAUACUGAACUGGGGUGGGCCCCCAAAUCCAAAAGGACUGGUGUCUUCAUAAGAAAUUUGGAGACAGAGACGCGGGAAGAACACCAUGUGAUGGGACAGAGCUGGGCUGUGCAGCUGCAAGCCAAGGGACACCAGAUAUUGCCGGCCACCACCACCGGUCACCACCGGAAGCGAGGCGGAGGCAAGGACGGAUUCUCCUGCAGGUUUUUGUUUUGUUUUGUUUUGUUUUGUUUUGUUUUGUUUUUUUGAAGGCGGGGGUCUUGCUCUGUUGCCCGGGUUGGAGUGCAUGGCACAAUCAUGGCUCACUGCAGCCUCAACCUUCCAGGCUCAAGUAAGUCUCUUGUCUCAGCCUCCAGAGUAGCUGGCAUGCACCACCAUGCCCGGCUAAUUUUUUAAUGUUUUUGUAGAGAUGGGGAAGGGGGUCUCACUGUGUUGCCCAGGCUGGUCUUCAAUUCCUGCACUCAAGUGAUCCUCCUACCUCAACCUUCCAAAGUGCUGGGAUUAUGGGUGUGAGCCGCCCCACCCGACCCCCCUACAGGUUUCAGAGGGAGCAUGGCCCUGCCAGCACCUGGGUUUCCUACUUCUGGCCUCCAGAACUAUCAGAGAAUAAAUGUCUGCUGUUUCAAGCCA